rnacentral:misc_RNA from 1 species
UCUCCGUUGGUGAACCAGCGGAGGGAUCAUUACCAGAGUUUUACCACUCCCAACCCUGCUGUGAACCUACCUAUCUUUGCUUCGGCGUACUCGCCCCAGCCGCCAGACGGCCCCGCGCCGCCCCGCGACCUGAACCCAGUCGGCCGCCUUAUACCACACAAUCCUGUAUCCAACAGUCUCCCUAAAUUCCCCGCACGGAAAUACAAACUAACCAAAACUUUCAAAAAUGGGUCUCUUGGAUCUGCCAUCGACGAAGAACCCAUCAGAUCGGAAGAGCAC